AGGACGAACGCUGGCGGCGUGCUUAACACAUGCAAGUCACGGGGGCCCGCAAGGGCAACCGGCGAACGGGUGCGUAACACGUGAACAACCUGCCCUCGUGUGGGGGAUAGCCAUGCUAACGCGUGGGUAAUACCGCAUACGUUCCCUUGGAGGAGUCUCUGGGGGGAGAAAGCUCCGGCGCGACGGGGGAGGGUUCGCGGCCUAUCAGCUAGUGGCGGGUAACGCCACAAGCGACGACGGUAGCUGGCUGAGAGGAUGGCCAGCCACAGUUGGGACUGAGAGACGGCCCAGACUCCGUACGGAGGCAGCAGUGGGGAAUCUUGCGUCAAGUCGGACCGAAAGGCUGGACGCGAAGCGACGCCGCGUGGU
rnacentral:rRNA from 1 species